AAAUGUCGGUUAAGAAUAGUGAAAUAAUUGUUCUAAGCGAAACAUAAUAUAUAAAUAAUUUAGAAGAAGAAUAGAUUUUGAAUGAAAAUAUUGGAGAAUUUAGCUCUGUUAAAAUAGGCGUAAGCAUUACUCGAAACACCAAAUCAACGGGACUAGGAACACGAAAUCGAAGAAGUCCAGGAAACUGGGUCACCAAAGAACAAAGGUUGCAAAUAUCUCAACAUACUAAUCAUAUGAUAUGAAGCAAAAUUAAAAAUAUUAUAUUUGAUUACAAACCAGUGAAAAAAAGUCAGCACCUGCAAUUUAAGUAAGAAAAAAUUA